ensembl:lncRNA
CGGUUAUACUGUUAAAAACAAUAGUCGUGCCAUAAAGCAUUUUGAAUGGAAUUGAAAAGGCGGUUGUAUGUAUUAUUGCGAACUGAAACCCUCACCAAAGACCCCCCCCCCCACCACCUUGACUCAGACAUAGUCUGGGGGAAACACUGAACCGGGUUGUAUCACUUCGUAGUGAGUACACUAGGGUAGUGAGUACACUAGGGUAGCUGGGUUAUCUCCAAAUGGUAACUGAGUGUUUGCUCCAGCAGGAUUGAAGGAGUCACUGGGGAUGAAGAUCACUGGGGAUGAAGAUCACUGCUCAGGGGCUGACGACCACCCCCCCCCCCCCCCCCCCCCCUCAUCUUUCCGGAGAAGGUAUAUAAAUCUACAGCUGAUGUGAUUAAAGUUCUGCAGUUCAGAUCUGCUGAUAAAGGGUCCCAUACCGUAUCCACAGCGUCCUCAAGGUGCAGGCGGUCAAACCACCACAUCUUUGAAGAGACCAAGCAGCUUGAUGACUGACUGGUUCCUUAUACUCCGGAGCAGAGGACGGACCAAAGGCCCGCAGCGCAGCAGACUAGAGACUCUGUGGAACCGGUUCAAUAAAGUUGACCUCUCCUUCAGGCGACUUGAAGGGAGACCAGAUGUGCGGCAGCUGGGUGUCGCGGUGCAGAGACCCAACGCUGGUAAAUAUUUACUUCCUCCUUGAACAGACCUAACGCGUCCAACGGCAAUUCUAUAAUCCCUCCUGAUCUUUAUCAAGGUCUGAAGACCAGUCUUUUCUGUGAACAUCUCCACUGACUAGUGUGCUCUUAAUUAAUUUGAAGUUAAUUAAAUGCAGUAACUCCAAUGCACCUGGAGGCUCGUAUUGUCUUUUUUUGAAACCUGGUUCACUAGGACUGUUGCGGUAAAUAAAUGCUUGUUUUUUCGCUAAUUUAAGUCUAUGGAAUCAAAUGCUGAUUGAGACCAGAUGGGGCUGUUCCUGUAUUUAUAGACAUUUGAUUGCCCUAGAAACUGAUUCUACUUUUUGCAUCAAUUUACUUCACAGCACUGAACUACACCAGUGUGUCCUACGCCCCCAUAAACCCUGAGGAUCCCUGGCUACACCAGCACAUUAAUCCACACCCAACAUUAACACGCAGUGCACACUCUAUAGAGUUUGUAAGUCCGCCCCUUGCGGCGGGACCUCGUGAGAUCGUAAGAUAUGACUGGGUUUCAAUGGAGAGAAAGUCAUUAUUUUCUCCAUUAUGUUGCACCACAUUUUGGGGGAAGAAUGUUUGAAUCAAUCUUUGUCAUUUAUUUCCGUACUCCAUAUCUGUAAUCCCAGCUGUUGUAUUUUAACACGGUAGCUGGGAAUCCUCUUUAUAGGGAGCGACUAGAGGGACGAGGCUGGAAGCAAACCUGAGCCUGGCUCUUAACCUUCUUUCUAAACCUAAUGCCGCAAUUUAACCGCAAAUAAAGUGAGGCCUAAAGUAACUUGACUCUCUUACCUAAACUUGCUUGCCUAAACUCGCUUGUCUAAACUCGCUUGCAUAAAAUCUGAACUUGCUUGGCUAAACUCGCGUCACUUGCCUAAUACCUGAACUCGCUUGCCUAAACUCGCUUGCCUAAACUCGCUUGCCUAAACUCGCUUGCCUAAACUCGCUUGCCUAAUACCUGAACUCUCUUGCCUGAACUCUCUUGCCUGAACUCUCUUGCCUGAACUCUCUUGCCUGAACUCUCUUGCCUGAACUCUCUUGCCUGAACUCUCUUGCCUGAACUCUCUUGCCUGAACUCUCUUGCCUGAACUCUCUUGCCUGAACUCGCUUGCCUGAACUCGCUUGCCUGAACUCGCUUGCCUAAACUCGCUUGCCUAAACUCGCUUGCCUAAACUCGCUUGCCUAAACUCGCUUGCCUAAAACCUAACUUGCUCAGCUUGACUCGCUUGCAUAAUAACUGAACUCGCUUGCAUAAAACUUGCUUAGCUUGACUCGCUUGCCUGUACUUGCUUGGCUAAACUCGCUUGCCUAAUACCUGAAGUCGCUUGCCUGAAGUCGCAUGCCUAAUACCUGAAGUCGCUUGCCUAAAACCUAAACUUGCUUGUCCAAACAUGUUACACAAAGUUAACCAUCCAUAAUCUUUAACCCAAACCAGACUUGUCCCUGGGUCGCUCCACUAUAAUUUAGAAGUUUCUUCUUUUACCUCAUCUGCGUUUUGAGUUUCAUUCUUUGAGGGCUUGAAGUGCUUUGGAGGAUAUUUGAACCUUUGUUUGCCGCAUUUGUUCGCCAAAUGUUCAGUGUCCUUUGACGUAAUGUCUAUGGUCUGACGAUAAUCUGACCUCUUCAUGAAGCAGAAUGUGUGUGAAUGUUGUCCCGUGAGCUCCAGGCUCUCAGGAAUACUCCCUGAGUAUUUCAGACCUGUGGUGUUUCACAUGAGACCUUAAUGGGAACUUUUCUUUUUCUGCCUGCAUACGUAAUGCCUACAUUAGUAGGGUGAUCACUGUUGAUCCCAAUAUUGAUCAUUAACCACCUCAUUCUUUUAUGAUUUCUUUCGAUAAGGAUUACAAAUCAUGUAAUUUAUGAGCAUAUUUGCAAAUGGCUCCAAAUAUCAGAUUCUGUAAAAACUAAUGAAAUGUAACCUGCUAGAAAAUAAAACAUCCAAAUAUUAUAAACCUGUUUUGUGUUGCUCUCUUACCAUGUGGAAAUGAAACGCAGAUAGAUAUGUUUAGCUCUGAUUUGCUGCCUCCUUUUGGUGUGGUGCUGGGAUUUGUUUAAUAUAUUAUCAUUUCCAGGAUAAGUUAAUAACCUAGCAUAGCCUACCCGGAAAAGAAGGG